rnacentral:lncRNA from 1 species
CACAGGGUUUAGCUUAACCACCUUGACAGCCUUUAUGCAACAAAAGGAGGGAAUCCAAGCUUUCAGAUGUUGAAUAGAAAAGCAUCUGUAAUUAAAGUUUCAACAUAAUUUAAAGUAUCAUUGUUUUAACUGGUGGGGAAGGGAGACUCGGUUUCUGGGUGGUUGCGGAACGCGUGCUGCCUUAUUACUGCUCAGUUGACAAGGGCGGUUGAGCAAAUAUCAAAAGCAGCACAAACGAAUAGGGACAUCCGGGAUAGUCACGGUGUGUUAAGUGCCACCUUAAUGAUAGAAAGUGCCUGUUCAUUCCACAGUUUCUUCUUCGUGGGGCCGGCCAUCAUCCUGGCUCAUGCUCUGUCUGCUUAGGGGCAAGCAGACAUCUUCCCUCUGCCAUCUUGGCUACCUUCAAAGAUGACUAUUCGGAGACCGCACCCAGCUGUUGAGAGAGUGAAGUGGAGGCACACUCACUGGGGCUGCCCUAGACCCUGGGCUUGUGUGAAACCCACUUUCUCAUCGGACAUGCCAGCUUGACUCAAUUUCUGUCCUGCUGUUGCCUUGGCCAUGUGGCAGUCCCAGGUCACCUUCUACAGAGUCUGUGAGCGUCUUCCUCAAAGAUGCUGGGAAGCUCCAUGAGGCAUGUCUGCCCAUUACUUUGGAUUAUUACAAAUGGUGCUGUCUGAACACCAAGUGCUAUUGCUAAUAGAGAUGGAUGGAGGAAAUAGGAAGUCACUGAAAGCCUGGAUGCAACUGAAAGUGAGCGUGGAAACCAUGAUCAAGGCAAUGCCUUAGCACUUCUAGGACAUCUGGGCAAAUCUGGUGGCAGUCUUUCCAAGGAGCUACCUCCUUUCAUAAGCAGUAGUCUUUCCUUACCCGACCCAGUCUUCUGGGGGCACAUGCCCACACACGUGGUGGCCCCUCACACUGCAGAUUGCAUUUCCAUGGAGACCGGUUAGGUGCUGGGCAGGAAGAGUGGACAAACAAGAAGAAAAGCAACAUGGACGAGAAGCUGAACUGCUCAAAAUGCAUGAGGCCAUGCUGAGUGAAAAAUAUUUUCCAUAUUACACAAACUUCACUCUCUACUUGGGGGAGGGGAAUAACUGAUCA